CCUGUAAAAAUCACCAAUUUAUAUAUGACUCAAGUAUUUUUGUACAUGAAAGUCAUUCUAGAUUAGUUAUACUUGUCAUACGUUAUAAAACUCUUGCUCAUCAGAAAGCUGGAAGUUACACUGGUGGAAAAAAACAAAGUUAAGUGAAUCCAGGAUUAAACAUUGUGUCAAAUUAUCUUCCUAACACUGGGAAGAUGAGGAAUUUUUUAAGACAACUAUAAUACAGCAAUGAGAGAGAUGUCCUUGUUUUCAUUGGAAACCUAAUUUCCAGGAUUAUGCUUUCCAUACACGAGGAAACAAUGUGAAAUCACAGCAAAAUUAAAGCUGCUUCAAGUUAAAAUAUGCUGGUUGUCAAUCAUUUUACCUUUUAUGUAAAUUUGAGCCUUGGGCUUAACAGACAAACAAACACAAAGAAUAUUGGCACACUCUAAUAGGAUUUUGCCGAUGUUUGUAAAGACAAAUGACAAGUCACACUAGAUUUGUUACAAAAUACUUUUGUCCACCAUCUCCUGGGGUCCAGUGAAAGCAAAAUGCAGCAUUGAGUGAUCCUUAGGAGUUUUGAGCAGGAGAGAAAUAAACAGAAAAGCAGUCAUUGUCUUGGACAGAGAGAAAGUUUUGUUUUCUGAAUUCUCGCCAAAUUACUAAUGCUCUAUUUUUCACUUACAAGUGCCCUGGGGGUUUCCAGUAGCACAACCUCAUGGCCACCGAGGAAAAAUACUCUCCUUGUUCUUUAGGAAAGCCCUUUCCAGCUUAGAGUGUGGAUUUUUCCAUUAGAAAGGUUAGAAAUUCAUUUCUCCAGCUUCUUCCACUGAGUUUCCUAAUGGACUCAGUCUCAUUGGAUGGAGUUAAAUAAGACAAAGACCCCCUGAGCAGAAAGCUAAAAGUUCACCCACGGGGAAAAAUGGGACUGUGACCUGCAGAACAGCUCCUCAAGAUUUGCUUUAUCCAUCAGAUUCCAGUUUGCUGCCUAAAACUUUGAUUAAUGUAUUUUUGAGAAGAAAAAUGACACCAGUAAGGAAUACAGUAUUUGUCAAGAAUUUUCAUAAAAACACAUAUUUUGGCGACUGGGUAACAAUAAUCAGAAAAUAACAAAGAUCUGGGAAUCAUUGCACCUGCCAGUGAGGGUCGGGCCAGGCACUUUUGUGCCUUCUGACUUCUUGAACAGCCCCACAGAUGUUACCAACAAUGUAUAUUUUCCAUGAAAUGGGAGAGCAUUAAGCAUUUCACUACAGAGCCUGGCACUAGCAAAGGCUCAGGCUGACUAAUAUCUCCCUGUGACUCAGCAAGUGAAUGCGCAUAAAGUUUGUGGCUACCUCCAAUCUGUUAACGACCAAUCCAAUUCAGUGAACACUUUCUCUUGUUAUAGUUCAUAAAAUAAAAUGAAGGUAUCUAC
rnacentral:lncRNA from 1 species